rnacentral:lncRNA from 1 species
UGCAUUUCAUUCAUAAAGACCAUUGGUUACAUUGUCCAUACGUAUUCAUGAGAAAAAUUUCAAAAUUACAUUUUUGGCAUAAGUUUACUUUUUGGUCAACCAGUUGACCAAAGUCAACUCACCAUUUCUACAAACCCUAACUCCCUUGUUUCUUCAAGACCAAUCAUCCAUACAUUCAUUCAUUUGCUACAAAACAAAGACCAAGACUAAUAUGUCAUUUUCAAGCAUUUCAACCUUAUCAUAUACAUUUCAUGUGCCAUGUCUCAACAUAAACCAUUUCCAAAACCAACCCUAGAAUUUCAAGUCUAGCAUAAGCAUUGCAACAAUGUCAAGCAUUAGUAACGUUUUACAUCAUACACCAUACAUCAAACUAGUAAAUCCAUGACAAAUAUCUACAUAACAAAUUCACCAUUCAACAAACCAAGCAUAUCAUAAGACGACCAUUCACCAUUCAACAAACCAAGCAUAUCAUAUCAUGACCAUUCACCAAAUCAUCACAUCCACAUAUAAAAUAACAAUCACGAACAGCCAUACCAAAUACACCAGCAACAAUUCAUAACCAUUAGCAAUGCAUCAUUCCUACAAGUCAUCAAACAUUCAUAGCCAAAGCCCUAAUAACAGCAAGUCAGUCAUGGCAUUGCAACUCAAACCAACUGUAGACCAUUAUCCAUCACAUUGCAGAGCUAACAACAUCUUGCAGUAGUAAAGAAUUUCCAAUUAUACAUCAUGAAUAAAUCUAACAGGUCAUUCCUUCAUGGAAAUAGCAGCUAACAUUUCAACAUCUAACAACUCAUUUCAUUAACAGAGAAUCGAGUAACAAUUAAUUAACCUACCAUUUCACCACUAAGAAAUUAACUAACCAAUUAAGAUCAUAUAAAAUAAAUUGAACAAUUAACUUAACUGAACAUCUUUCACUAACAGCCACCAGGUUUAACCUUAUAACAAUUAAUUGAGUUAACAUUCCACACUAACAGAAACUGAACUAACUCGUUUUAACUCAGCUUCACCAAAUCAUUAACAACUAACUCAUCUAACAGAAUUUCACAACUAAUUUCAAUCCUAACUAAAUAACACUGUAGUUUCACUGCUAAUCACUUUUGAUCCAAUUGCAAGUAAACUAGUUAACAGAGUUGGAAUUAUCUGUUAACUGCCCCCCUAUAAAACCAAUUCACCCUACUCAUUCAGGAGGAUCUUUAUUCAUUCAUCGAUUCGAACUUCAUCAUUCAUUCAGCAUCCUCAUAAUCUCUCUUUCCCUCACGUAAAUUCAGAGCACUCUCCACUCUCACGAUUUCUCAAUAUUCAUUUUGCACGCAAACACAGAAGAAAAAGAAUAUUAAGGAGGAGAAUAUUCAAGAAGAAGUUUCGAGAAGUUCAUAAAAGCGUAUCUGAAAUCCGGCAUCUGCUCUGGCGAGUGCCUUAUCUUGCCUUCAUCUUUUGAUCCAUGCUAGUUACCAUGAUGUAGAGAUAGGUUGAAGGAAUCAAAACCAUAACAUCUAGGGCUUUGAUUCUACGAAUCCAAGAUUUAAUUUCUCUUUUAGUUUAUAGGGUUCUUGAACAUGUUUCUUCGAUUUGAACAUUUGAGAAAAAAUUAGGGAAUUACAUUGUGAGAUUUGGACUCAGGGUGAAAAGAUGAAGAAGAUGAUAUGGGUGUUUCAGAGAUUAGGUAUCUAUCGUCGCCAGAGGUGACCUCUGGCGCGGCGGAGAAGAGCCCAGAUGGGGGGAGUUUCAAUUGUUUGAUUUUUUAACAUGGAGCACAUGAUAAACUUGAUGAACAUGUUCUUUUCAAUUGGCACAUGAUUUCUGAUUCAUUCACACUUGCAUUUUCCCUUGCUGAGCAUUGGGCUCCCAGGCCCAAAUCUUGCUACCCACACUUCCUCAAGCUUGUGCACCCCCUGUUUCAUUUACUGAAGGAACAAUGGGCCCUUGCUUGGGCCUGCACGUUUUCUGAUUAUUGCACCUUGCUUUUUC